UCUCUCUUUGAUCCACAAAAC
rnacentral:piRNA from 1 species